GUUGUAUGAUCAUUAUGCUUACAUAAUCGCUUAAACUGACUAUCGAUACGUAAAAACUGCGUUAUAACUUGGAUAAAUCCCUACAAGUGACCGUGACAGAGAACGAUCCAAGAUGACGUCAUUUCGGUGGGAGAUGUGUGUUACAUGAUCGCAAAAACGAAAAAUCGCUGUCAUUUGUUGUCGUGACUGUGAUUUUAAAGCGUUCACCGAGUUACAUAAUGACCCUGCUGAAGGGCAGUGUUGAUCGACCCCCUGCGUGGAGUGACGACAUCAAGCGCGAUCGUGGUUUGAUUUGGUAGUCCCUAGACUAUGUCCUGCAGUAGCCGUCCAUCGGCGGGUGUAAUGAUUAUGAUUCACUUGGUGAAUUACCUACUUUUUAGGAUAACAUCAAAAAUGUGUUAUAUUCCAGCAGGCUGAUUAUGUAUCUCGACGUAUCACUUCUAACUGUGUAACGCAAAGCUAAAUUGAACACUAGAGUGUUUUUGCAAUUCCGAUUAUGUAAGACAUAGGACUGCCACAAUGCCUAGUGAUAUCGUUCUAGGCGCAAAAUUUUAUCGACAUUAUGCGACUAAAUAAAAUACACCCUUUCCCGGUACUACUUACUACGGGUGCGGCAUACUUUUGCACAUAUACGCAUUAUACUUGAUUUUGCUGUUUGUCUGUGGUGAAGUGAAGUGCCAUAGUUUCUUUGUUGGUAAACAAAGCCGUAUUAAAAUAUUAAUAAAAAAAUUGGUUUCGUUGGAUCAAAGUACUUGCUACUGCUAGUUUUUUGUUUUCAAUAGAAGUAAUUAAUUAAUCAUUUUAUCGUAUACAUUUUUAUUAGUGUUAAUAGUUAAUUUAUCAAAGUAAACGGCCACUUUUACAUAAAACAUUAUCUACACGAAAGUUCUUCAAAGUUUUAUCGUCUGCCUAUGAAUAAUUUAAUGGUCGUUGUGUUAUGUAAAGUAUAUUUUAUAGUGUUUUGUAUAUUAAAGUUUAUCGCUUCGGCAAACUUGGCGAUGGGUUGUUUUGGAGGGCCUUUGGAAAGUCAGGCUACUAAAUAAACCUUCCGUGUUCGCGUCUGCCAGUGGCGUUGUAUCAACAUGAAGAUGUGGGCUCUAAACUUUGAGUGCCAGGGACUGACUAUGGAAGUCUCCAUGUCGCUGGUCACCAUUGAGGUGCAAAACACCUUGAAAAAAUUGGUGAUUCUGAAUCCUUCAUCUCUAUGAACGAUUCAUGAAGAAAGAAUUAAACAAACAUUUAAUGAACAGAUUUUUUAUAAGAUUAUUAUCAAUAAUGACAUUGCAUAUGAGAGAAAAUUGUCAAAUAUAAUUUCAUUUUAAUUUAAUAUAGUUAAUUAUGACAUCACUGUAUAUAAAGAAUAUGAUUAUUAUCAUUUGGUUAAUUUCAGUAUUACAUAGUAUUAGAUAAAAAUUUUAUUGUAAAAUUGCACAUCAAAAUAUGUUUUAUUAUCUAUUAUUAGGAGGAAAUAUUAUUUAACUAUUAUUAUUAUCCCUAAUAGCCCAGUGAAUGUGACCUCUGCCUCCAAUUCCGGAGGGUGUGGGUUCGAACCCGUUCCGGGGCACGCACCUCCAACUUUUCAGUUGUGUGCAUUUUAAGAAACUAAAUAUCACGUGUCUCAAACAGUGAAGGAAAACAUCGUGAGGAAACCUGCAUACCAGAGAAUUCUCUUAAUUCUCUGCAUAUGUGAUGUCUGCCAAUGUAAUCCAAAUAUGCUGGCCCAUAUUCGGCUCCUGUCAGAAUGAGAGGGGUUAGGCAUUGGCCUUUCCUUACCUUAUCAGCCGAUAGACGUCCACUGCUGGACAUAGGCCUCUUACAUGGACCUCCAAGCACAACGAUCUUGAGCCGCGAACAUCCAACCAACCGACCAACCACGCUUUCCAGUGCGGGGUCUCCCGAGUGCGGGUAGGCACUAACCCCUCUUACUGGGGGAGACUCGAGCUCAGCAGUGAGCCGAAUAUGUGUUUAUAAUGAUGAUGAUGAUGAUGAUGAUGAUGAUGAUGAUGAUGAUGAUUAUUUAAGUAAUUGUAAAAGAAAAAAUUUAAUACUACAUUAGUUGUUUAUCUAUACAAUUCAAUAAUUUUAAGAACAAAACAUGUACCUACCACAUUGUAGGAAAUAAAUAAAUAAUGAUUUGAUUAAAAACAAUGUUGUUUAAUGUUAAGCAGGUAGGGCCAGGUAGUUAAUACUCUAUAUUUGUGUAACAUCUAUUACUUAAAAAUAAAAAAUAUAUUUA